rnacentral:rRNA from 1 species
CCUACGGGUGGCAGCAGUGGGGAAUAUUGCACAAUGGGGGAAACCCUGAUGCAGCAACGCCGCGUGAAGGAUGACUGCCCUACGGGUUGUAAACUUCUUUUAUAAAGGAAUAAAGUGAGGCACGUGUGCCUUUUUGUAUGUACUUUAUGAAUAAGGAUCGGCUAACUCCGUGCCAGCAGCCGCGGUAAUACGGAGGAUCCGAGCGUUAUCCGGAUUUAUUGGGUUUAAAGGGAGCGUAGAUGGGUUGUUAAGUCAGUUGUGAAAGUUUGCGGCUCAACCGUAAAAUUGCAAUUGAUACUGGCAGCCUUGAGUACAGUUGAGGUAGGCGGAAUUCGUGGUGUAGCGGUGAAAUGCUUAGAUAUCACGAAGAACUCCGAUUGCGAAGGCAGCCUACUAAACUGCCACUGACAUUGAUGCUCGAAAGUGUGGGUAUCAAACAGGAUUAGAUACCCGGGUAGUC